GGGAUAGAAUUCCAGGAGUAGCGGUGAAAUGCGUAGAUAUCUGGAGGAAUACCAAAGGCGAAGGCAGUCCCCUGGUCCGAUACUGACACUGAGGUACGAAAGCGUGGGGAGCAAACAGGAUUAGAUACCCUGGUAGUCCACGCCCUAAACGAUGUCGAUUAGCCAUUGGAAGGACCCCUUUUCCUUUCAGUGACGUAGCUAACGCGUUAAAUCGACCGCCUGGGAAGUACGACCGCAAGGUUAAAACUCAAAGGAAUUGACGGGGACCUGAACAAGCGGUGAAUGAUGUGGAUUAAUUCGAUGCUACGCGAAGAACCUUACCUACCUUUGACAUGGCCAAAGUUCUACCGAGAGGCGGACGUACUCGUAAGAGGAUUGGCGCACAGGUGCUGCAUGGUUGUCGUCAGUUCGUGUCGUGAGAUGUUGGGUUCAGUCCCGCAACGAACGCAACCCUUAUCUUUAAUUGCUCCUAUUUUAACAGGCACUUUAAAGAAACUGCCAAUGAUAAGUUGGAGGAAGGUGGGGAUCACGUCAAGUCCGCAUGGCCUUUAUAGGUAGGGCUUCACACGUCAUACAAUGGUUAGAACAAAGAGCUGCAAAUUCGUAAGAAGGAGCCAAUCUCACAAACCUAACCUCAGUUCGAAUUGCGGUCUGCAACUCGAGCGCAUGAAGCCGGAAUCGCUAGUAAUCGUGGAUCAGAAUGCCACGGUGAAUACGUUCUUAGGUCUU
rnacentral:rRNA from 1 species